AACAAACGCUGGCGGCGUGCCUAAUACAUGCAAGUCGAACGGGGUAGCAAUACCCAGUGGCGCACGGGUGAGUAAUCCAUGGAUAAUCUGCCUUCGAGUGGGGAAUAACUUUUCGAAAGAAAGGCUAAUACCGCAUAAGACCACAGGCACUUCGGUGCUCGAGGUCAAAGGAAGCCUCUACUUGUAAGCUUUCGCUUGAAGAUGAGUCCAUGGCCGAUUAGCUAGUUGGUAGGGUAAUGGCCUACCAAGGCGAUGAUCGGUAGCUGGUCUGAGAGGAUGACCAGCCACACUGGAACUGAGACACGGUCCAGACUCCUACGGGAGGCAGCAGUAGGGAAUAUUGGACAAUGGGGGAAACCCUGAUCCAGCGACGCCGCGUGAGUGAUGAAGGCCUUCGGGUCGUAAAGCUCUGUUGUACGGGAAGAAGAGUUCACAGUUAAUAGCUGUGAACUUUGACUGUAGCGUAUAAGAAAGGACCGGCUAAC
rnacentral:rRNA from 1 species